GUUGGGAAUAUUGGACAAUGGGCGAAAGCCUGAUCCAGCCAUGCCGCGUGAACGAUGAAGGCCUUCGGGUUGUAAAGUUCUUUAGCCGAUGAUUAUAAUGACUGUAGUCGGAAAAUAAGCCCCGGCUAACUUCGUGCCAGCAGCCGCGGUAAUACGAAGGGGGCGAGCGUUAUUCGGAAUCACUGGGCGUAAAGCGUGCGUAGGCGGUUUUGUAAGUUAGGAGUGAAAGCCCAGGGCUCAACCUUGGAAUUGCUCUUAAAACUGCAAGGCUCGAAUCUCGGAGAGGAUAGCGGAAUUUCCAGUGUAGCAGUGAAAUGCGUAGAUAUUGGAAGGAACACCAGUGGCGUAAGCGGCUAUCUGGACGAGUAUUGACGCUGAGGCACGAAAGCGUGGGGAUCAAACAGGAUUAGAAACCCUUGUAGUCC
rnacentral:rRNA from 1 species